rnacentral:lncRNA from 1 species
CACAAUUUGUGUCGAAACAAGGACAGAACCCCCGGCCUUGCUGAGAUCCAUUCCAAGAGAAACAGAUCUGAAGAAGACAGAUUAGGCACAGUCCAAAAGUACAAAGCUGUGUUCUCUACAUUUCAACCACUUUCAGACCCUUGGCAAGGAUCUAAAGAAGAGGUACCUCAAACCAGAUGUAGUACCAUCCCUAUGUCCAAACUGUCCCAACACCUAAAGCUUCAUCAAGACCAACUCAAGAUGAGACCACGUCACGUAGGGCUCAACAGUCUAAUGAACUACAACAGCAUGCUGUGUUUCACGAAUCAUCCAUUGGAGCACUUAAGUACUACUCCAUAGAAGACAACAGACCGGAGUCUAAAGACACAGCCCAAUUUUUAGAGUUUGUCAGAACUAUGUGGAAUAUCCUGAACGUCGAGACAUCUGGAAUUGGCUACGAAAAAAGAGAUGAGCUUCGGGAACCAAUCUCUAAGAAGAACAAACGUGGGCUCUGUUUCUUGAGAGUUUUUGUCGACUUUCUCAUCGAGUGGCAAAACAGUAAAGCACCUGGCCUCACAUCAGAAACCUUCCUAGCAACAAAGCAGACGUGCUUUGCCGUAGCAGACCUGGCAGAGUAUUUUCUCCUAGAUGAAGACUUCUCCUAUGUUCUCCUCGGCAUGUUCCAGUCUGAUCCAAUCGAAUGAAGUUUUGGCGGGUACAGACAACUAAGUGGAAGUAUCUACUACAUCAGCGUGAGAUAGAUCCUGGAAGCAGAGAAAAGGAUUCGUAUUCUGAGUUUUGUCAAAUUCUCAGGUAUGACUACUUCAGAAAUUAAAGCUCUGCUGAACGAAGACCUCGUGAAAGCUAAGCUCAUUUGGACUGACAACCAGAUGACCUCCAAGAACUAGCUUCCAAGGGAGAGAGUGAUACUUUGUUGCCGGGUAUAUUGGUUUUUCUUUGUAGAAGAAGAUCAGCUGUACAUCAUGCCAAGAGUUAAUGGUCAUCAGAGACGCACCUCCGGACUCAAUAACCUUCGAUAGUCCAACCAAUCAGCGUGUAGACCUGAAAGAGUUCAUCAAAAUAAUGAGCAGAGGGAGGGGGGUUCUCGACUCCAUCCGACCUUCUCUACCUCUCCUGUCUUUACAUGCUUACUCCAUGUUCUCUUACAUCACAGCUACUCCUGAAGAGAAUGACAGUUUACUUGGCAGCCUAAAUCCUAGAGCUUCAUUUGUUGCCACAUUCAUUGGCAGGAUGCAGGACAGUUUAAACUAUAAAAUUAUUAUCGUUGUGGGAGUAAAGUUCGAGGAAGGACACUCCUAGUUAGCUUUUCAUCAAAGAAUUUCAUUCGCUUUGUUUAAUGUCAUGUGUAAAAAUUUAAGUGCUACACUGAAUGAUGAUAUCCUAUUUUUAACAAAAAGAAAAUGGCAGCUAAGAAUUCAGAAGCUAAUUUUCAAGCAAAAUCAUCUGACUUGUAGACUUUGACUAACUUUGUACUUUUUGAUGGUACCUUUUCUUUUUUACGUCAUACGUAUUUCUUCUCUUCUCCUCGCAAGCUUUUGUAUUCUUACCAAAAUUAUCACCCUCAAGAAUAAGGAAAUCCCCAUUUGGAAACGCGUGACCGCAGUGUCUUGUCCUGUUUACGGGAGUCCUUGAUACAACGGUAGCUAUAUUGCUACUUCUAUUCCAACUCUGGAUGAUCCAGACAUUGCACAUUCAUAACCCAAUGAGGUGAACGGGAGAGUAUGAACAACGGAGAACCAGAACUUCAUGGGAUGAAAUCCACUUUGAUCAUCCCUGACACGGACACACACUUCACUUCUUGUAAGUGACCAUGGUUCUCUUCCUUCCUCCACGAGGCCCAAACUGAGGUAUAGCCCGUAUUGCUCUGCCUUUCGUAGACAAACGAACGUUCUCCCUGUCGACAAAAAGGGGCUACCCAACUCCAACAGAGAAACGAAAUCUCUCGUGCUCUCCAAAACGAGAUAAUACAUUUAUGAUAAGUACUUUUGGAGUAAUCUUCUUUUGAAUGUAAACUUCCCAGUCCACCCUGCGAUCAAGUUACCAAAUUGACUUUAAGCUCUCGUCAGGACCUGUUAUCCUUGUCUUUCUCAUCUUUCUUUUUCAUAUUUGAGUAGCUGAGAUCAAAUAGGA